UGGGGAAUAUUGGACAAUGGGCGAAAGCCUGAUCCAGCCAUGCCGCGUGUGUGAAGAAGGUCUUCGGAUUGUAAAGCACUUUAAGUUGGGAGGAAGGGCAGUAACCUAAUACGUUGCUGUCUUGACGUUACCGACAGAAUAAGCACCGGCUAACUCUGUGCCAGCAGCCGCGGUAAUACAGAGGGUGCAAGCGUUAAUCGGAAUUACUGGGCGUAAAGCGCGCGUAGGUGGUUUGUUAAGUUGGAUGUGAAAUCCCCGGGCUCAACCUGGGAACUGCAUUCAAAACUGACAAGCUAGAGUAUGGUAGAGGGUGGUGGAAUUUCCUGUGUAGCGGUGAAAUGCGUAGAUAUAGGAAGGAACACCAGUGGCGAAGGCGACCACCUGGACUGAUACUGACACUGAGGUGCGAAAGCGUGGGGAGCAAACAGGAUUAGAUACCCCCGUAGCCCCUGAGCGGGCUGGCAAGGCGCAU
rnacentral:rRNA from 1 species